rnacentral:misc_RNA from 1 species
GGUUCACCUUCUAUGUCAUGCCAUCAAAAGCUUACAAUAUGGUACAACACUGGUUCGUCUUUUUAGCUUGUUUGUAGAACAUCUGUGAUGCUGCACUAAGAUCGGAGCUCUUCUCGACCAAACUGUCCAACCUUUCGCCACGUGCAAGCACGCUGUCAAUGGUCUUAUGAAGAAUAAUUUUGGUUUCGUCCAACUCCCUCUGUAUUUUCAACAAUUUAUCAGCCUCUGCAGGGUCCUGGAAUUUGGUUAAAGCUUCAGUCAGAUAGGGCCAUGGUUGAAAGUUAUCUGCUUGUGCACUUCUCCAUGUUUCACCAAAAUUUUUU